rnacentral:rRNA from 3 species
AAAUUGAAGAGUUUGAUCAUGGCUCAGAUUGAACGCUGGCGGCAGGCCUAACACAUGCAAGUCGAACGGUAACAGGAAGCAGCUUGCUGCUUUGCUGACGAGUGGCGGACGGGUGAGUAAUGUCUGGGAAACUGCCUGAUGGAGGGGGAUAACUACUGGAAACGGUGGCUAAUACCGCAUAACGUCGCAAGACCAAAGAGGGGGACCUUCGGGCCUCUUGCCAUCAGAUGUGCCCAGAUGGGAUUAGCUUGUUGGUGAGGUAACGGCUCACCAAGGCGACGAUCCCUAGCUGGUCUGAGAGGAUGACCAGCCACACUGGAACUGAGACACGGUCCAGACUCCUACGGGAGGCAGCAGUGGGGAAUAUUGCACAAUGGGCGCAAGCCUGAUGCAGCCAUGCCGCGUGUAUGAAGAAGGCCUUCGGGUUGUAA